GGUAGGGUCUUAGCUCAGUGGUAGAGCAUCUGCCCUGCAUGCAGGUUCAGUCCUCAGUGGCAUCUCCAAGUAGGGCUGAUAGUCCUUUGUCUGAAAGCCCAGAGCUGCUGCUAGUCAGUGCUGACAGUUCUGAGCUAGACAAACUAAUAGUUUGACUCUGUACAAGCCGAGGCAGCAUCCUAAGAUGCCAUUUAUUCCUACCAUUGCAUGCAGAAGGUCCCAGGUUCAAUCUCAAUGGUUCCCCAUCU